AGUGAACGCUGGCGGUAGGCCUAACACAUGCAAGUCGAACGGCAGCACAGUAAGAGCUUGCUCUUACGGGUGGCGAGUGGCGGACGGGUGAGGAAUACAUCGGAAUCUACUUUUUCGUGGGGGAUAACGUAGGGAAACUUACGCUAAUACCGCAUACGACCUACGGGUGAAAGCAGGGGAUCUUCGGACCUUGCGCGAUUGAAUGAGCCGAUGUCGGAUUAGCUAGUUGGCGGGGUAAAGGCCCACCAAGGCGACGAUCCGUAGCUGGUCUGAGAGGAUGAUCAGCCACACUGGAGCUGAGACACGGUCCAGACUCCUACGGGAGGCAGCAGUGGGGAAUAUUGGACAAUGGGCGCAAGCCUGAUCCAGCCAUACCGCGUGGGUGAAGAAGGCCUUCGGGUUGUAAAGCCCUUUUGUUGGGAAAGAAAAGCAGCAGGUUAAUACCCCGCUGCUCUGACGGUACCCAAAGAAUAAGCACCGGCUAACUUCGUG
rnacentral:rRNA from 1 species